GGCUGGAUCAUGGACUACACACCGACGGAGAAUUUGUCAUUGAGCUGAAGGAAAAUGUGUUGGCACUCGGCUUCGUUUCAACCCGGAGGAAGAUUGGCAGCAUCAUUAGACGUUCAUCUUAAUGUCAAUUGUCGAAAUAAAGAAGAAUUUGUCACAAAGCUGAUGGAAAAUGUGUCGUCACUCGGCUUCGUUUCAACCAGGAGGAAGAUUAGCAGCAUCAAUAGACGUUCAUCUUAAUGUCAACUGUUGAAACGAUUUGUUUGCAUUCUAAUAUAAGUUUAAAAUACAUUUAAUCUGCAUAUUAUUUGAAGUUUAAUAGGAACGGAAUAUUUAACUGGAUCAUGGACGACUAUCCACCGACGAAGAAUUUGUCAUAGAGCUGAUGGAAAAUGUGUCGGCACUCGGCUGUAUUUCAACACGGAGGACGUCUAGCAGCAGCAAAAAGAAAUUCAACUGACGAUAAUCUACUGUCGAAAUAAAGAAGAAUUUGUCACAAAGCUGAUGGGAAAUGUGUCGUCACUCGGCUUCGUUUCAACCAGGAGGAAUAUUAGCAGCAUCAAUAGACGUUCAUCUUAAUGUCAACUGUUGAAAGGAUUUGUUUGCAUUCUAAUAUAAGUUUAAAAUACAUUUAAUCUGCAUAUUAUUUGAAGUUUAAUAGGAACGGAAUAUUUAACUGGAUCAUGGACGACUAUCCGCCGACGAAGAAUUUGUCAUAGAGCUGAUGGAAAAUGUGUCGGCACUCGGCUGUAUUUCAACACGCAGGACGUCUGGCAGCAGCAAAAAGAAAUUCAACUGACGAUAAUCUACUGUCGAAAUGAAGAAGAAUUUGUCAUUGAGCUGAUGGAAAAUGUGUCAUCACUCGGCUUCGUUUCAACCAGGAGGAAGAUUAGCAGCAUCAAUAGACGUUCAUCUUAAUGUCAACUGUUGAAACGAUUUGUUUGCAUUCUAAUAUAAGUUUAAAAUACAUUUAAUCUGUAUAUUAUUUGAAGUUUAAUAGGAACGGAAUAUUUAACUGGAUCAUGGACGACUAUCCACCGACGAAGUAUUUGUCAUAGAGCUGAUGGAAAAUGUGUCGGCACUCGGCUGUAUUUCAACACGGAGGACGUCUAGCAGCAGCAAAAAGAAAUUCAACUGACGAUAAUCUACUGUCGAAAGUAUUUGUUGUGAAGAAGAAUUUGUCACAAAGCUGAUGGGAAAUGUGUCGGCACUCGGCUUCGUUUCAACCCGGAGGAAGAUUAGCAGCCUCAAUAAGAAGCACAUCUUAAUAUCAACUGUCCAAAGGAUUUGUUUUGAAGAAGAAUUUGUCACAAAGCUGAUGGGAAAUGUGUCGGCACUCGGCUUCGUUUCAACCCGGAGGAAGAUUUGCAGCAUCAAAAAGAAAUUCAACUGACGAUAAUCUACUGUCGAAACUAUUUUGAAGAAGAAUUUGUCACAAAGCUGAUGGGAAAUGUGUCGGCUGUAUUUCAAUACGGAGGACGUCUGGCAGCAGCAAAAAGAAAUUCAACUGAUGAUCAACUGCCCAAAGGAUUUGUUGUGAAGAAGAAUUUGUCAUUGAGCUGAUGGAAAAUGUGUCGUCACUCGGCUUCGUUUCAACCAGGAGGAAGAUUAGCAGCAUCAACAGACGUUCAUCUUAAUGUCAACUGUUGAAAGGAUUUGUUUGCAUUCUAAUAUAAGUUUAAAAUACAUUUAAUCUGCUUAUUAUUUGAAGUUUAAUAGGAACGGAAUAUUUAACUGGAUCAUGGACGACUAUCCACCGACGAAGAAUUUGUCAUAGAGCUGAUGGAAAAUGUGUCGGCACUCGGCUGUAUUUCAACACGGAGGACGUCUAGCAGCAGCAAAAAGAAAUUCAACUGACGAUAAUCUACUGUCGAAAUAAAGAAGAAUUUGUCACAAAGCUGAUGGGAAAUGUGUCGUCACUCGGCUUCGUUUCAACCAGGAGGAAUAUUAGCAGCAUCAAUAGACGUUCAUCUUAAUGUCAACUGUUGAAAGGAUUUGUUUGCAUUCUAAUAUAAGUUUAAAAUACAUUUAAUCUGCAUAUUAUUUGAAGUUUAAUAGGAACGGAAUAUUUAACUGGAUCAUGGACGACUAUCCGCCGACGAAGAAUUUGUCAUAGAGCUGAUGGAAAAUGUGUCGGCACUCGGCUGUAUUUCAACACGGAGGACGUCUAGCAGCAGCAAAAAGAAAUUCAACUGACGAUAAUCUACUGUCGAAAUAAAGAAGAAUUUGUCACAAAGCUGAUGGGAAAUGUGUCGUCACUCGGCUUCGUUUCAACCAGGAGGAAUAUUAGCAGCAUCAAUAGACGUUCAUCUUAAUGUCAACUGUUGAAAGGAUUUGUUUGCAUUCUAAUAUAAGUUUAAAAUACAUUUAAUCUGCAUAUUAUUUGAAGUUUAAUAGGAACGGAAUAUUUAACUGGAUCAUGGACGACUAUCCGCCGACGAAGAAUUUGUCAUAGAGCUGAUGGAAAAUGUGUCGGCACUCGGCUGUAUUUCAACACGGAGGACGUCUAGCAGCAGCAAAAAGAAAUUCAACUGACGAUAAUCUACUGUCGAAAGUAUUUGUUGUGAAGAAGAAUUUGUCACAAAGCUGAUGGGAAAUGUGUCGGCACUCGGCUUCGUUUCAACCCGGAGGAAGAUUAGCAGCCUCAAUAAGAAGCACAUCUUAAUAUCAACUGUCCAAAGGAUUUGUUUUGAAGAAGAAUUUGUCACAAAGCUGAUGGGAAAUGUGUCGGCACUCGGCUUCAUUUCAACCCGGAGGAAGAUUGGCAGCAUCAAUAGAAACUCAUCUUAAUGUCAACUGUUGAAAAAACAGAACAUUUAACUGGAUCAUGGACUAUCCACCGACGAAGAAUUUGUCAUUGAGCUGAAGGAAAAUGUGUCGGCACUCGGCUUCGUUUCAGCCCGGAGGAAGAUUUGCAGCAUCAAAAAGAAAUUCAACUGACGAUAAUCUACUGUCGAAACUAUUUUGAAGAAGAAUUUGUCACAAAGCUGAUGGGAAAUGUGUCGGCUGUAUUUCAAUACGGAGGACGUCUGGCAGCAGCAAAAAGAAAUUCAACUGAUGAUCAACUGCCCAAAGGAUUUGUUGUGAAGAAGAAUUUAUCAUUGUGCUGAUGGAAAUUGUGUCGGCACUUCAACACGGAGGACGUCUUGCAGCAUUAGAAUAUAAGUUUAAUUUAGUUUUCCCCUUACGCAUUAGCGCUCAUCUCUCAUCCACUCAUCCAACACAUUGACUAUCGCCGGCCGGCAACACACACAUAUUAUACACAUUACCCGUUUUAUAUUAUAUAGAAUUAUUAAUAUCUACAUAUAGUUUAAGUUAUUGUAUAUUUUUUUUUUAUUAUUUGAAUGCAUUUAUAUGAUCAGUUGCGUAUUUAGAAAUUGUAUGAUAAGGGCAACACAUAUUUUGCUGCCUCCCUCCCAUUAAAAAAAAAAUUAAAAUGCCUCGCAUUGGUCAAACUGUUAAUACCAUAGAAUACCAUGUUAUAUACUUAUAUAAACAUUAUAGUAUUUUACACCUCUA